GCUUCGAAAGUCAAUAGCACAGACGUCUGGUCUUGUAAACAUGAGUGAGGGCUAAAAUCCCUCUCGAAGCU
rnacentral:tRNA from 1 species